GAUGAACGCUGGCGGCGUGCUUAACACAUGCAAGUCGAACGGAAAGGCCCAAGCUUGCUUGGGUCGUAGAGUGGCGAACGGGGGAGUAAAACGUGGGUUCACUGCCCUGCACUUCGGGGUAAACCUGGGAAAAUGCGUAUAAUACAGGAGAGGACCACAUUUUUGAUGGUGUUGUGGAGAGUUUUUCGGUGUGGGAUUAGCUCGCUGGCUAUCCGCUUGUCGGUGGGGUAAUGGCCUACCAGGGGGGCGACGGGUAGACGGCCGGCGGGGGUGUACGGCCAUCCUGACACCGAGAUAAGGCCCAGACGCCGAAGGGAGGCCGAAGGGGGGAAUGGUGCACAAGGGGCGCCAGGCUGAUGCAGCGACGCCGCGUGUCGGAUAACGGCCUUCCGGUUGUAAACUCCUUUUGCGAGGAACGAAUCGUUAUGUGACGGUACCUGGAGAAUAAGCACCGGCUAACUACGUG
rnacentral:rRNA from 1 species